rnacentral:rRNA from 1 species
UACGAAGGGUGCAAGCGUUGCUCGGAAUUAUUGGGCGUAAAGGGUAGGUAGGUUGUUACGUAUGUCUGGGGUGAAAUCCCUGAGCUUAACUCAGGAAGUGCCUUGGAAACGGCGUAACUAGAGUGCUAGAGAGGUUCGUGGAAUUCCCAGUGUAGCGGUGAAAUGCGUAGAGAUUGGGAGGAACACCAGAGGCGAAGGCGGCGAACUGGAUAGCAACUGACACUGAACUACGAAAGCGUGGGUAGCAAACAGGAUUAGAUACCCUGGUAGUCCACGCUGUAAACGAUGGGUACUAGGCUUCGUGGGAGUUGACCCCUGCGGAGCCGGAGCUAACGCAAUAAGUACCCCGCCUGGGAAGUACGGUCGCAAGACUA